rnacentral:rRNA from 1 species
UACCUUGGUAGUUCCACGCCGUAAACGAUGUCGAUUUGGGAGGUUGUGCCCUUGAGGGCGUGGCUUCCGGAGCUAACGCGUUAAAUCGACCGCCUGGGGAGUACGGCCGCAAGGUUAAAACUCAAAUGAAUUGACGGGGGCCCGCACAAGCGGUGGAGCAUGUGGUUUAAUUCGAUGCAACGCGAAGAACCUUACCUGGUCUUGACAUCCACAGAACUUAGCAGAGAUGCUUUGGUGCCUUCGGGAACUGUGAGACAGGUGCUGCAUGGCUGUCGUCAGCUCGUGUUGUGAAAUGUUGGGUUAAGUCCCGCAACGAGCGCAACCCUUAUCCUUUGUUGCCAGCGGUCAGGCCGGGAACUCAAAGGAGACUGCCAGUGAUAAACUGGAGGAAGGUGGGGAUGACGUCAAGUCAUCAUGGCCCUUACGACCAGGGCUACACACGUGCUACAAUGGCGCAUACAAAGAGAAGCGACCUCGCGAGAGCAAGCGGACCUCAUAAAGUGCGUCGUAGUCCGGAUUGGAGUCUGCAACUCGACUCCAUGAAGUCGGAAUCGCUAGUAAUCGUAGAUCAGAAUGCACG